ACCCUACGGGAGGCAGCAGUGAGGAAUAUUGGUCAAUGGGCUUACGCCUGAACCAGCCAAGUCGCGUGAGGGAUGAAGGUACAGAGUAUCGUAAACCUCUUUUGUCAGGGAACAAAGGCGGGGACGCGUCCCCGGAUGAGUGUACCUGAAGAAAAAGCAUCGGCUAACUCCGUGCCAGCAGCCGCGGUAAUACGGAGGAUGCGAGCGAUAUCCGGACUUAUUGGGUUUAAAGGGUGCGCAGGCGGUCUGUUAAGUCAGCGGUCAAAGCCCGGGGCCCAACCC
rnacentral:rRNA from 1 species